GUGGCAGCUCCUGGAUGUGUCCUGUCCCAGGUACAGCUGCAGGAGUCGGGACCAAGCCUGGUGACGCCCUCGCAGACGCUGUCCCUCACCUGCUCGGUCGCUGGGUUCUCGCUAACAGACUAUAGUAUAAACUGGGUCCGCCAAGCCCCUGGAAAGGGCCUGGAUUGGAUUGGUGGUAUACGGUAUGAUGGAAACACAUACUAUAAGCCAAGUCUUCAGUCCCGACUCAGUAUGACCAGGGACACGUCCCAGAACCAGGUUUACCUAAAACUGAGCAACUCAGUAACUGAGGACACAGCCAUGUAUUAUUGUACAAGAGACACAAUGAGGGCAAGUCCCUGUGUCCUUUCUCAAGUACAGCUACAGGAGUCAGGACCAAGCCUGUUGACACCCUCGCAGACACUGUUCCUCACCAACUCGGUCUCUGGAUUCUCUAUAACCAGCUAUAAUGUACACUGGGUCUGCCAGGCCCUUGGAAAGGGGCUGGACUGGAUUGGUGCUAUAUGGGAGUCCACUAGAGACCGUUACGACCUGCUAGCAUGGAAGGUGACUGGUUUUGUGCGUGUGGUCAGCAUGGGACAAGCAUUGUGGAUUUCCAACAACACGCAUUCCAAGUACAGCAAGCACCUGAUUCUCUGA